rnacentral:rRNA from 1 species
GAUGAACGCUGGCGGCGUGCCUAAUACAUGCAAGUCGAGCGAACAGACGAUGAGCUUGCUCCUCUGACGUUAGCGGCGGACGUGUGAGUAACACGUGGAUAACCUACCUAUAAGACUGGGAUAACUUCGGAAAACCGGAUCUAAUACCAUAUAAUAUAUUGAACAGCAUUGGGCAAUGGUUAAAUACGGUUUUUCGGGCACGUAUAGCUGCAUCCGGGCCUCAUUAGCUUGUUGGUAAGUUAAUAGCUUACCAAGGCAACGAGGCGUAGCCGACCUGAGGGGGGGAUCGGCCACCUUGGAACUGAGCCAGGGACCAGAAUCCUAAGGGAGGCAGCAGUAGGGAACUGUCCGCAACGGGAGGAAGCCUGACGGAGUAAGGGCGAGUGAGUGAUGAAGGUCCUGGGAUCGUAAAAACGUGUUACUAGGGAAGAACAAAUGUGUACGUAAAUAUGGCCGUAUUGACGGUAACUUAUAAGAAAGCACCGGCUAACUACGUG